GAAAGCGAGGAAGGGCACAUGGGGGAUGCCUAGGCUCUCGAUGGCGAAGAAGGACGUGACAAGCUGCGAAAAGCCGCGGUUAGGGGCAAAUGCCCGUCGACCCGCGGAUGUCCGAAUGGGGGAACCCGCCGGGAUUACGUCCCGGCAUGCGCGUAGCGCAGGCGAACGCGGGGAACUGAAACAUCUAAGUACCCGCAGGAAAAGAAAAUAACAAUGAUUCCGCCAGUAGCGGCGAGCGAACGCGGACUAGCCCAAACCGCGCGGGUCGAGGCCCGCUCGGGGUAAUAGGACCGGCGCCGCGGCCGGAGCGGAGCGUAGCGGAAGCGUCUGGAAAGUCGCGCCGCAGCGGGUGAGAGCCCCUUACGCGAAACGCGCCGUGAGGCCAAGCCGGCACCUGAGUAACCCGGGGCACGAGAAAUCCCGGGCGAAUUGUCGGGGACCAUCCCGAAAGGCUGAAUACAAGCGAGAGACCGAUAGUGGACAAGUACCGUGAGGGAAAGGUGGGAAGCACCCCUGGCGGGGAGUGAAAGAGACCCUGAAACCAUGUGCCCGCAAGCGGUCGGAGCGGCUUCGUGCCGUGACGGCGUGCCUUUUGCAUAAUGAGCCUACGAGUCGCCGUGUCCGGCGAGGCUAAGCGCGAAGACGCGCGGAGCCGCAGCGAAAGCGAGUCCGAAGAGGGCGUUUUAGUCGGACGUGGCGGACGCGAAACCGUGUGAUCUACCCUUGCGCAGGCUGAAGGGGGGGUAAAGCCUCCUGGAGGGCCGAACCGGUAGGCGUUGAAAAGCCUUCGGAUGACGUGAGGGUAGGAGUGAAAGGCCAAUCAAACACGGAGAUAGCUCGUACUCCCCGAAAUGUAUUUAGGUGCAGCCUCGGGAGGAGUGCGGCGGAGGUAGAGCGACCGACAGGAUGCGAGGGCUUCACCGCCUGUCAAGUCCUGACGAACUCCGAAUGCCGCCGCAUGCUGCCCGGGAGUAAGGGCGCGGGUGCUAAGGUCCGCGUCCGAGAGAGGAACAACUCAGACCACCGGCUAAGGUCCCGGAAUCCGGGCCGAGUUGGAGCCAAUAACGAGGUGGGCCCGCAGAGACAGCCAGGAUGUUGGCUUGGAAGCAGCCAUUCAUUCAAAGAGUGCGUAACAGCUCACUGGUCGAGCGGGCCUGCGUGGAUAAUAAUCGGGCAUAAGCCCGGUACCGAAGCCGUGGUGCGUCGCUGAAUGGCGCCGCAGGUAGGGGAGCAUUCCGGUCGGCUGCGAAGCCGUCCCGCGAGAGGCGGUGGAGCGUCCGGAAAAGCAAAUGUAGGCAUGAGUAACGACAAUGGGGGCGGGAAACCCCCACGCCGGAAGGCCAAGGAUUCCUGAUCAACGCUAAUCGGAUCAGGGUCAGUCGGGACCUAAGGGGGAGCCGCGAGGCGUACCCGAUGGAAGAAACGGUCAACAUUCCGUUACUGCGGCGCGGAGCGACGCGGGGACGGGGCAGUGACACGGCUGCGGGCUGACGGAAUAGCCCGUUGAAGGGUGUAGGUAAACGCCGGGCAGGCAAAUCCGUCCGGAGUGCCGAACCUGACAGUACCGCGAGCCUCCGGGCGAGCGGAGAACGCCGGUAACCACGCCUCCAAGAAAAACCGCUAAGCGUAUGCGCGCCGUACCCGUACCGAAACGGACACACGUGGCCGGGUAGAGGAUACCGAGGCGCUCGGGAUAUCCACCGUUAAGGAACUAGGCAAACUGACCCCGUAACUUCGGGAGAAGGGGUCCCCGCUCAAAGCGGGGCGCAGCGAAACGGUCCAGGCAACUGUUUAACAAAAACACAGGGCUGUGCGAAAUUUAAAGAUGAGGCAUACAGCCUGACACCUGCCCGGUGCCGGAAGGUUAAGAGGAGGGGUCACCGCAAGGGAAGCCCCGAAUUGAAGCCCCGGUAAACGGCGGCCGUAACUAUAACGGUCCUAAGGUAGCGAAAUUCCUUGUCGGGUAAGUUC
rnacentral:rRNA from 1 species